GCUUUUUUAGUAUAAUUAGUAUGUUUGCCUUCCAAGUAAAAGGUUUAUUUUAGUAAAAGAAGUA
rnacentral:tRNA from 1 species